rnacentral:rRNA from 1 species
CGCGUAGGCGGCUUUGUAAGUCCGUUGUGAAAUCCCUCGGCUCAACCGAGGAACUGCGACGGAUACUGCUUGGCUUGAGUCCCGGAGAGGGUAGCGGAAUUCCCAGUGUAGCGGUGAAAUGCGUAGAUAUUGGGAGGAACAUCGGUGGCGAAGGCGGCUACCUGGACGGGUACUGACGCUGAUGCGCGAAAGUGGAGGGCGAAC